rnacentral:rRNA from 1 species
GGCCUACGGGACGCAGCAGUGAGGAAUAUUGGUCAAUGGCCGGAAGGCUGAACCAGCCAAGCCGCGUGAAGGACGAAGGUGCCAAGCAUUGUAAACUUCUUUUGUCAAGGGACAAAAUCAGGCUCGAGAGCCUGACCGAGGGUACUUGAGGAAAAAGCAUCGGCUAACUCCGUGCCAGCAGCCGCGGUAAUACGUAGGGGGCAAGCGUUAUCCGGAUUUACUGGGUGUAAAGGGAGCGCAGGCGGCGCGGUAAGUCUGAUGUGAAAGCCCGGGGCUCAACCCCGGGACUGCAUUGGAAACUGUCG